AAACCCGCUGCGCACCAUGCCCGCACGACUUUCGCCCACUCCUCCUCCUCCUCCCAACAGACGCCAGCCGUUCGCCACAGCACGGACGGGCCGCCUCCCGCGCCGAUCCUCCCGCCGCCUCCCACGCCGUUCGCCGCCCGCCGAUCCAAUCAUCCUCCGCAGCCGCUCAGCUUGGCGGGAGGAUUUCCCUGGCCUUGCUCCGUCCUCUCGUCUCUCGAUCUGAUCGAGGCCACAACUCGGGAAUGGCGGCUGGCAUGCGGAAGGCGCCAUCCAUGGAGUGGCGGUGGGUGUCCGCGGGAGAGGAGGAUGACGACAAGCUGGAGGGCCGCAGGGCAGGGGGGCCCACGGCCGUCGGGGCGGCAGCUUCGAGUCGGAGGACGAGGAGGACAACAUCGACUACGAGGACGAGGAGCAGCGGGAGGCCAGGCAGCGCCUGAUUCGGACCGUGCUGACCGUCGACUGGUUCCGGGCGCCAACGGCCAACGAGGUCUCAGGCAACGGCUAACGAGGUCUCGGGCGCGCAGCCUCUCGAGGACCCCGAGGAACCUCUUCCUGCUCCGUGGGUGGUUAAAGCGAGAAUACGGGCAGUGAUCAAACUUCAAACGUCAUAAUUAAAGAUACCUUGCCCAAUGCAAGUACCUUUUUCUAGGAGGUUUAAGAACUUGUAUAAGCACCUGUAGUCUCUGCAAUGCAAAAUUCCAACCCUAUAGGUUUUCCACUGGGAGAACAAGUUUCUAGAUACCACAAUAAGAAUACUCAUUUUCUUGUUCUCUGUUUUUCAUUGCAAUUUUUUGUUGUGCAAUAUGAGUUGAUAUGAAUCAAACAUCCCAAGUAUUAUUGUUGACUAAUUUUUAAAUUACCUCCCUUCCAAACAGCCCUUGAACAAUGAACAAGGAAAUUUCGGAGUCCUUGUUUCACUGCCUCCGAGGACGUGGGAGCCACCACCACCGUUGCUUACUUCCACAACUAAAAGUCCUAGAUAUCAGACUUCAGUGGCUAUAAGAAAAACUAAAGCUCUGUUUCCACAGGCGAGUAAAUGCAGCCUGACUGAAGAACGCAAGCUCUGUUUCCUCAAGCUAUGUAUUAGGUUGCAUAUAUAUAACAAAGUGAGGUCCUCAUCCUGGUUGGUUUGGCAUGGCCACAUCCUCAUGGCCAAUAGGCUGUUGCGCUAGAAAUGGCCAGGCAGUGAGAUUUGCCCGACGUGUGGCUCUUGCGAAGAGACGGCCAGCUUUGCGAGGCAAGUAUGGCCAGGGUGGCCUUUUGGUCAUGAUACCAGGUGUUGUCUCCCCCAGUUCCUAGAACAUCGCUCCCAUCUAUGACUGGUGGAUGGCGAUCAGGUUUCAAAGGAGGAGAAAAAGCAUUUUCAUGGACUCACCUCGUAUGGCGUUAGGAAAAAUUGGAACAUUAAGUCAAUGACACCACAUUCAAGAUAUGAUUUUGUUAUAGUUGUUCCGGAUGCAUGGUGGGGGGCUGAGGUUUUGGGCCUCCCUUUUCCCCUCUAUUAGACAAAAUCUACCUGUAUGGGUCUGGCUGUAAAACUAACUUCGACUAACAUAUCCUUGCUUGCGAUGGAAUACAAAUGUAUUUUCUUUAAGCUGUAAUACUAAAAUACUUGUUUUUGCGAUGUAAUAUGGGUAUAGUUGAUUUUUUUGUGCGU